CAUGCCUCCCCAUAAGGACGUUGUUGUACGCCAGCCAAACCGGACUCUGAGGGCAAUUCUUUAAAUAUAUCAUGAAGUCAUGUUGAAAUUGGAACUCGAGAGGCAAGAUUACGAUGGCAUUUAGUCAAGGACCUAGGAAUUCUCGAAUCUUCCUUUCAACUGGCCAUCUCUUUCUUCGGGAUCUUCAAAGAAAAUAUGUGUACUAAUGACCAAGCAAGGUGGGACCAAGCCAGGCCAAGUGAACCCUCCCUCCCCAUAUCUCCUAUUCCAAGUCACGGGGAGAAAGGCUGCAAAUGUUUGGAGUCUGUGCCUCCCAGGGGAGGAGAUAUCCUGACAGACCACCUUGCCACCAGCUUUUCCUGAGCUCUUGUCCCUGAGCCUCCAGAGCUGUCCUGUUUCAAGCUUGUAUCCAAGCCUGCUUUUCCAGCCUUCCCACGGAUUCUGUAAGCUUAUCACCUAAUUCCCAAUACAUUCCCUUCUGCUUGAAUUGCCAAAAUUAGUUUCUAUUCCUUUUUCUUUCUUUUUUUUUUUAGG
rnacentral:lncRNA from 9 species